UUGUCGAUGGUGUCGGAGCUCUCGACUUCUAGGGUUAUAGUCUUGCCGGUGAGGGUCUUAACGAAGAUCUGCAUGCCACCACGGAGACGGAGGACGAGGUGAAGGGUUGAUUCCUUCUGGAUGUUGUAGUCGGCGAGGGUGCGCCCGUCCUCAAGUUGCUUUCCGGCGAAGAUGAGACGUUGCUGGUCUGGGGGGAUUCCCUCCUUGUCCUGGAUCUUGGCCUUGACGUUGUCAAUGGUGUCAGAGCUUUCGACCUCUAGGGUUAUGGUUUUGCCAGUGAGAGUCUUGACGAAGAUCUGCAUGCCACCACGGAGACGAAGGACAAGGUGAAGGGUUGACUCCUUCUGGAUGUUGUAGUCGGCGAGGGUACGGCCGUCCUCGAGCUGCUUUCCGGCGAAGAUGAGACGUUGCUGAUCCGGGGGAAUUCCUUCCUUGUCCUGGAUCUUGGCCUUGACGUUGUCGAUGGUGUCAGAGCUUUCCACCUCAAGGGUGAUGGUCUUUCCGGUGAGGGUCUUGACGAAGAUCUGCAUCUGUAGAGUCAACAAUCACAAGAUAAAUCAGAAUCAAAAUCCAUCACGUAAUUUCAAGAAGCAAUUUCGUGAAAAAAAAUCCUAAUCUAUGGCCACAGAAUCAACAAAUAAGGUAGUUGCUAAAGGACCUGAGCAAUAUCUCUUGAAAUACCAUACAGAAUCAACGAAUAAGGCUUUUAUCAACGGAUCUGAACAAUUUCUUGAAAAACGACUGAAGUAUCAACAAAUAAGGCUGUUGUUUAACGGAUCUGAAGUAGUUCAUGAAAAAAACCUUAAUCUACGACUACAGAAUCAACAAUUAAGGCUUGUUGUAAACGGAUCUGAAAAUCUUUAUGAAAAAAACUCUAAUUAGACCUAAUUUACGGUUAUAAAAUCAUCAAUUAAGGACGUUCUUGCAUUAAUAAAAGCUGAAUCUUCUGAUUAUGAAAAUUUAUAAUCGAUGAAACGAUAGAAAACACAAUCAAAUCAACAUCAUGCUGAUGUAGAACAAACAAUAAAGAAGAAGAAAAAAAAACAGAAGAAAUCUACGAACCUUGAAAGGAGAGGUAGGGAACUGCGCAAAGAGAAUGAACUAAUUUGAUUGCAAUUGAAGUGCGAUUAGGGUCGAGGGGUGUGGGGGCAUUUUAUAGCAUAUGCGGUGGAACCGUUCUCCAAUCAUAUUGUGACGCGUGCCCAUGUAUGGUGUGACUUGGUGUUUAUGACACAGAUGAUAUUUCGGGGAGUCCUUCGUAGUUGACGGUUUCGUAAUCUUGACGGAGUCAG
rnacentral:lncRNA from 1 species